rnacentral:rRNA from 1 species
GACAGAGGGGGCAAGCGUUGCUCGGAAUCACUGGGCGUAAAGGGCGCGUAGGCGGGUGCUCAAGUCCGUGGUGAAAUCCUCCGGCUCAACCGGAGAACUGCCAUGGAUACUGGGUGUCUCGAGGGUGAUAGGGGUAUGCGGAACUAUCGGUGGAGCGGUGAAAUGCGUUGAUAUCGAUAGGAACUCCGGUGGCGAAGGCGGCAUACUGGAUCACAUCUGACGCUGAGGCGCGAAAGCCAGGGGAGCAAACGGG